rnacentral:rRNA from 1 species
ACUCCUACGGGAGGCAGCAGUGGGGAAUAUUGCACAAUGGGCGCAAGCCUGAUGCAGCAACGCCGCGUGAGGGACGACGGCCUUCGGGUUGUAAACCUCUUUUAGUAGGGAGGAAGCGAAAGUGACGGUACCUGCAGAAAAAGCACCGGCUAACUACGUGCCAGCAGCCGCGGUAAUACGUAGGGUGCAAGCGUUAUCCGGAAUUAUUGGGCGUAAAGAGCUCGUAGGCGGUUUGUCGCGUCUGCUGUGAAAACUGGAGGCUCAACCUCCAGCCUGCAGUGGGUACGGGCAGACUAGAGUGCGGUAGGGGAGAUUGGAAUUCCUGGUGUAGCGGUGGAAUGCGCAGAUAUCAGGAGGAACACCAAUGGCGAAGGCAGAUCUCUGGGCCGUAACUGACGCUGAGGAGCGAAAGCAUGGGGAGCGAACAGGAUUAGAUACCCUGGUAGUCCAUGCCGUAAACGUUGGGAACUAGAUGUAGGGACCAUUCCACGGUUUCUGUGUCGCAGCUAACGCAUUAAGUUCCCCGCCUGGGGAGUACGGCCGCAAGGCUAAAACUCAAAGGAAUUGACGGGGGCCCGCACAAGCGGCGGAGCAUGCGGAUUAAUUCGAUGCAACGCGAAGAACCUUACCAAGGCUUGACAUAUACCGGAAAUGGCUGGAAACAGUCCCCCCGCAAGGUCGGUAUACAGGUGGUGCAUGGUUGUCGUCAGCUCGUGUCGUGAGAUGUUGGGUUAAGUCCCGCAACGAGCGCAACCCUCGUUCUAUGUUGCCAGCACGUAAUGGUGGGAACUCAUAGGAGACUGCCGGGGUCAACUCGGA